rnacentral:rRNA from 1 species
CCUACGGGAGGCAGCAGUGAGGAAUAUUGGUCAAUGGGCGCGAGCCUGAACCAGCCAAGUCGCGUGAGGGAAGACGGUCCUAUGGAUUGUAAACCUCUUUUGUCGGGGAGCAAAAGACGCCACGCGUGGCGUUCCGAGAGUACCCGAAGAAAAAGCAUCGGCUAACUCCGUGCCAGCAGCCGCGGUAAUACGGAGGAGCCGAGCGUUAUCCGGAUUUAUUGGGUGUAAUGGGUGCGCAGGCGGAAUAUCAAGUCAGCGGUAAAAUUUAGCGGCUCAACCUCUUCGAGCCGUUGAAACUGGUAUUCGUGAGUGAGUGAGAGGUAUGCGGAAUGCGUGGUGUAGCGGUGAAAUGCUUAGAGAUCAUACAGAACACCGAUUGCGAAGGCAGCUUACCAAUCUAUAUCUGACGUUGAGGCACGAAAGCGUGGGGAGCAAACAGGAUUAGAUACCCUUGUAGUC